rnacentral:rRNA from 1 species
CGGACGGGUGAGUAAUGUCUGGGAAACUGCCUGAUGGAGGGGGAUAACUACUGGAAACGGUAGCUAAUACCGCAUAACGUCGCAAGACCAAAGAGGGGGACCUUAGGGCCUCUUGCCAUCGGAUGUGCCCAGAUGGGAUUAGCUGUAGGUGGGGUAACGGCUCACCUAGGCGACGAUCCCUAGCUGGUCUGAGAGGAUGACCAGCCACACUGGAACUGAGACACGGUCCAG